GGAAGGAUCAUUACAACGUAUCCAACGUUUCAACCAACCCUGUGAACAUGUUCCCUACCUUGAGGCAGCAAUGCUGAGAGGCAUGUCGCUUUCGACGAUCGACUGCGUGUCGAGCGGAGAGAGCUGUGCGCAUUCCUUCGGGGCUGUGCACUUUUUACCAUUCACUACUGUCACCUCUUGAGUGCACUUUUCGAAGUGUUAACAAUGUUGUCAUUCGAUUGACGUUCGUGAUUGAAUUCGUUCGAUCCGUCGUCUCACGUUUGUUUAUUCAACGUGCAAAACAACUCUUUGCGAUGGAUGUCUUGGCUCUCGCACCGAUGAAGAACGCAGCGAAAUGCGAUACGUAAUGCGAAUUGCAGAAUUCCGUGAAUCAUCAAAUCUUUGAACGCAAAUGGCGCUCUUGGGUACACCUAGGAGCACGCUUCUCUCAGUAUCGGUUUCAACCUCUCUCAGCAGCGUUGUGGUAAUGAUAUAUUCACAAUGUGAUGGCUGGUGUAUGAGAGUCGGAGUGCCUCGCCACUUCGUCUCUUGAAAUGAAUCGAGUGAUAUCCGCAUGUGCACGUACGAGUCUCUCGCGACGGCUAUUUUGAAUAGCAGUCACUGACCGACGACUUGACACGUAUGCCACGAGCUUAGCGAUGCUGUUUAUGCAAUGUGAACAGCGACGUGUGAGGCUCGAUCGAACACACUCUCUAUGACGUGAAGAAUGACCCAAGUGGUCUCUCUUUCUCGACGUCGUGGGGGAGUGGCGUUAGGGAUCGAACACUUGCACGGCAGCGGUGAGGGCUUCAGGUCGGCAGUUGGGGUAUAGAUGGAGCGUAGCAAUAUGUUAGUGAUUCUCACGUUGGUAAUCCAUGAUGAGUACUGCGAUCAUCGUUGUCUAACAGCCUCGAUGUGUGUGAGUGACUCUCUCUCUUUCGAUCUGAGAUGAAGCGAGACAACCCCCUGAAUUUAAGCAUAUUAAUAAGGGGAGGAAAAUAAAAUAAAAAUGAUUCCCCUAGUAACGGCGAGUGAAGCGGGAAGAGCUCAAUUUGAAAAUCGACUACCCAAACGGGUCGUCGAAUUGUAGCCUAUAGACGUACUAUCAGCUGUAACCUGGGUAUAAGUUCUUUGGAAUGAGGCACGUAACAGGGUGAGAGUCCCGUCUACGACCCAAAGAUUGCAGCGUACGAUGUAUGUUCUUCGAGUCGAGUUGUUUGGGAUUGCAGCUCUAAAUGGGUGGUAAGUUUCACCUAAAGCUAAAUAAUGGCGAGAGACCGAUAGCGAACAAGUACCGUGAGGGAAAGAUGAAAAGAACUUUGAAAAAGGAGUGAAAAGUACCUGAAAUCGCAAAGAGGGAAGCGCUGGAAACUAGUGUGACUAUAUGCUUUACGCAGUUAGCCAUUUGACGCUGAUGUAUGCAAUUGGUAACUUUGCAUGUGUGAGUGAAGGGUUGGUUGUCUGUUCUGAGUAUACGGUCUGUCCAGAUCCAUUCGAACGUGUCGGAGAAGGCAGAGGGAAAGGUGAGAGAGUCCGCUCUCUGUUAUAGUCCCUUUGCUCUACGUCGCUUUGGAUGGAGGAAGUAAUGGUGCGCCGCUUGCGGCUUGGUCGUUCGUUCCUGGAAUCAGUCAUUGGUAGUGAGAGCAAUGCUCUGAUUGCUAUGACUGCGUUCUACUGAGCGGAUGGACUCGACGUGCCAUCACGAUCUGGUACGAAAUGGUUUUCAUCGACCCGUCUUGAAACACGGACCAAGGAGUCUAACAUCUAUGCAAGUAUUUGGGUGCCAAACCCUGAUGCGUAAUGAAAGUGAAGACAGCUUCGGCUGUUGAGGUAGGAAGCCUUCGGCAACGGGGGUGGCACUAUCGACCGAUCAUCACUUGUGAAAGAUUUGAGUCAGAGCAUAUCUGUUGGGACCCGAAAGAUGGUGAUCUAUGCCUGAACAGGGUGAAGCCAGGGGAAACUCUGGUGGAGGCUCGUAGCGAUACUGACGUGCAAAUCGUUCGUCUGAUUUGGGUAUAGGGGCGAAAGACUAAUCGAACCAUCUAGUAGCUGGUUCCCUC
rnacentral:misc_RNA from 1 species